rnacentral:lncRNA from 13 species
UUGUUUGCUUUAUUAUACUGGUUAGGUUUUUAGUACAAUAUUUGUAAUGUUGUGAAACCUAUAUUUAGUCUUCAUCCUCUUUUCCUGACAGGUCCUAAACCUUUGACAUCUCCAGAGUGAUGAUGAAAUAAUGUUGAAUAGAAGUGUCUUCUGUAUCCUCAUGACUAGUGGUGGAAGGCCCUUGGAUAGCUUCAAGUUGCGGACUGGUCGCCAGAAAGACCAAGACAUGAUUAGAGGGCUGGAUUUGAACUCCUGAGCUCAAGUGAUCCUCCUACCUCAGCCUGCUGAGUAGCUGGGACUACAGGUAUGUGCUACCAUGCCCAGCAAAGGUACAUACUGUCAGGAAGCCCUUCAAACUGUGGAUCUACCUCUGAAUAUGGGUAAGUACACCAAAGAUCAUUCCAGGAAAUGACCAUAUGCCUCUGAGAAGGGAUGAGAAAGGAGUUGUGGAUCCUGUGUUUCUUUAGGGAAUCUCAGUCACUACAUCCCUCUGGAGAUGUGAGCAUCUUGCUGUGCUGAGGAUAGUUGUGUUUAAAGAUGUGUUUUCUUUACAAGGUGAUCUUUAGAUAUAAAGCCAGUGAUUUCGCUGGUGCUCAUCCAAAGAAACCACAAUUGUUCUGACACUGGAGGAAAAGCUGACUGCGCUGGAGAAGCGGGGUGUUGGUUUCCAGCAUGGUCACACCUUCAUUAGGGGUUCUCAAGGGGAAUUCUGACUCAGUGGGUUAUUUCGCUUUCUUCCUGACUUCAGAUGUAAUACCAUAGUACCUCCCAAAGAGGAACAGUAGUCCAUGGAGGCCAUGCAGUCUAAAUCUGUAUUAAGGAAGUAACGCAUUUCAAACCUAAAUUCACCAUAAUUUGCACCAUUUCUUCGGCCCACAGUUAAGGGGCAGUGUCAUUUCCCCUCUGGUCAUCCUGGGUUGCAUACGGGCCAUCUGUCUUUCAUGACCAGGCUUGAUCUGCACAGAGAUGUGAACGAAGUUUUGCAAUCAUAUUUUUUCUUUUCUUCUGCCUGUUACCUUUGGGCCAUCAU